AGUGGAUGGGGAGCAACCUAGUUGUGCGUGUGUAAAGGUAGUGCCAAGAAAAGCGGUGAUCAUGAUGAAAAUCAAUUCCCGGUACCCGAAACCGACACAGGUGGGCAAGUAGAGAAUACUAAGGGGCGCGAGGUAACUCUCUCCAAGGAACUCGGCAAAAUGACCCCGUAACUUAGGGAGAAGGGGUGCCACCGAGAGGUGGUCGCAGUGAAGAGGCCCAGGCGACUGUUUAGCAAAAACAUAGGUCUCUGCAAACUCGAAAGAGGAGGUAUAGGGGCUGACGCCUGCCCAGUGCCGGAAGGUUAAAGAAGUUGGUCAGUCUUAGGAUAAAGCUAGCGACUGAAGCCCCGGUGAACGGCGGCCGUAACUAUAACGGUCCUAAGGUAGCGAAAUUCCUUGUCGGGUAAGUUCCGACCCGCACGAAAGGCGUAACGAUCUGGGCGCUGUCUCGGAGAGAGGCUCGGCGAAAUAGGAUUGUCUGUGAAGAUACGGACUACCUGCAUUUGGACAGAAAGACCCUAUGAAGCUUUACUAUAGCUUGGAAUUGUGUUCGGGCUUCCUGUGCGCAGGAUAGGUGGGAGGCGUAGAAGGUAUUCUUGUGGGGAUACUGGAGCCAACGGUGAGAUACCACUCUCAGGAGGCUAGAAUUCUAACUUAAUUAAGGACAGUUUCAGGUGUAGUUUGACUGGGGCGGUCGCCUCCAAAAAGGUAACGGAGGCGUACAAAGGUUCCCUCAGACUGGUUGGAAAUCAGUCGCAGAGUGCAAAGGCAGAAGGGAGCUUGACUGCGAGAAGUACAGUUCGAGCAGGGUGGAAACACGGUCUUAGUGAUCCGACGGUGCUGUGUGGAAGGGCCGUCGCUCAACGGAUAAAAGUUACUCUAGGAUAACAGGCUGAUCUCCCCCAAGAGUUCACAUCGACGGGGAGGUUUGGCACCUCGAUGUCGGCUCAUCGCAACCUGGGGCGGAAGUACGUCCCAAGGGUUGGGCUGUUCGCCCAUUAAAGCGGUACGUGAGCUGGGUUCAGAACGUCGUGAGACAGUUCGGUCCAUAUCCGAUGUAGGCGUGAGAAUAUUGAGAGGAGCCUUCCUUAGUACGAGAGGACCGGGAAGGACGCACCGCUGGUGUACCUGUUAUGAUGCCAAUUGUAAACGCAGGGUAGCCAAGUGCGGAGAGGAUAACCGCUGAAAGCAUCUAAGUGGGAAGCCCACCUCAAGAUGAGUAUUCUGGUGUAAGGUCACGGGAAGACGACCCGUAAAUAGGCACGAGGUGGAAGUGCAGAGAUGUAUGAAGCCGAAGUGUACUAAUAGACCGUCGGCUUGAC
rnacentral:rRNA from 1 species